rnacentral:RNase_P_RNA from 1 species
GGAGAAGACCGGGUGAUCGCUCGCCGCGGCGACGUGGCGAGAGGAAAGUCCGGACUUCAUGGGCAGGGCGCUGGGUAACCCCCAGGCGGAGCAAUCCGACACCAGCACCACAGAGAACAGACCGCCGAUGGCCAACGCGAUUGGACCCCAAUCUCAUCGCUGCGGAUCAGGCAAGGGUGAAACGGCGGGGUAAGAGCCCACCGCGGUGAUGGCGACAUCACCGGCAGGGUAAGCGUCGCUCGAUGCAAGGCCAAAUAGGAAGACACCUGCCGGUCCUCUUCGGAGCAUCGGCGACCGGCUGGCCCGGCCGAGGUCUUCGGGUAGGUCGCUUGAGGUUCGAGGUAACUCGAAUCCCAGAGAAAUGAUCUCCUCUGAUCGAGAGCAUAUCUUGGUCAGGACAGAAUCCGGCUUAUAGGUCUUCUUCACCG